UCCAUGCAUAAUGAAUGUAUCCCUGAUCAUCUCCAUGCAUAAUUAAUGUUUCCCUGUUCAUCUCCUUCCAUAACGAAUGCCACCCAUACUUAUUAGUCAGUCAGUCAUGCUUUUUUACUCAACCAGUCCCUUUGGCCACUGUGUAGGAUGGUCACAUUAUGCAUCACUGGGUGAUCUCACAGAUCCAUGUGCAGACAGGGACACAAAUGGGUCUUUGAAAUCUUACAGCAACAUUCACUCAACUGAAACAAAAUAACUAGAGGGUGAAUGUAUUUUCUGAAAAGAAUGAAGCAUUAUCAUAACUUUAAAAUAACAACUGCCUGCAUCAACAAAUGUAAAGUGAUCCAUUGAAAAUGUGAAGGAAAAAAAAACAAACAUGCAGUAACAGUGCCCCCAUCAGCUCAGUUACGGAAUUCACUCAAACAUUUACAGUGUAAGUUGAAUAUAAGUCAUGGCCGGUUAAUAUAAUGCUGACAAACAUAGUCCAAAACAAGCAAUGUGAUCUCUGUGAGAAAUUGUUCCAGUGUGAGCAAAAAUGAAGAAAUUCGCUUAAUUGUACACCAUUUCUGAACAACUGCGAAAUCUGUGAAUUCCCGAAAGUCCACGAUCUGGCCCAUGACUGAGAAACUGGUCAGCAGCAACAAACUUUGUACCCUCCCCAAAUUCCAGUCAGUGGUUAAAUACACCAACGGUGGUUACAACUUAGACUGAGGGAAGAACCAACAUUGGCAACAUGACACAAACUUCAACAAGAAUAGUUCUACUUUGCUUUUGCUCACUGACAGGAAAGAAGGCAAGCCGUGAUGCUCUCCUCUCAUGUGCUGUUGCUCAGGAGGAAGAUGUUGGGAACAAUAGCUGCUCCUCAACCACCUUGUUGUUUAAACAGCUCUCUACUCAGCUUGCAGAGGCAGCACAAUGUGCUAAACAUAUUACUAGCCAGUGGAGCGACGACCAGACUGCUGUUGUGAUUAACUCCUUACAAACACUGACAGUCAUUCUACAGAAACAUCAAAAAACAGUGCAUAUGAAGAUAUUAAUGUACAGGCCAGUUCAGUCAGAUUGACUGUACAAUAUGAUACUGCAACUACAAUCAUUUCCACUAGAGGUCAGUUUCCAAUCAUUUUCAGUGGUAAAGAAUUAACAUGGGUUGGUAAAACAAAUGCAUGGGAUUUGCUCUUGUUCUCUCUAUCACACAAAAAAUAUCAUCCCGUCUCAAUACCUAAUCCAUAGCUAAAAUCCUAUCAUGUCUUGGUAACAACAUGUUUAGUGGGUAAAGCCAAGAUCUUCAAUGAGCUGACAGUAAACACAAAUAAGUACUGUGACGAGAACUGUGAAGAACUGUGAAUAUUUUCAAAUAGAAAAAUAGUAAAAUACACAAGCAUUAUGUUUUUUUGUUCUGUCUAAAGGUUUGUAAAGCUUUGCUGGUAUUUGGACACUGUGAAAUUCCAUGAGUAUUGGGGAUUCUUCUGAGACAGUUUCUGCAAUACAAAUGGUCUGCUACAAUGAAAGCAAUUUACUUAAUUUGAGGCUCAUAGAUUUGAAUAUCUCAGACGUGAUUACCGAUUGCAGGAACAGGAUUCAAAGCUUAGGGCUUCUCACAGCAGCUUCAGCUCUCCUUCUUUGUGCAUCUCCAGAUCCUUUUUUAGUCUAAGACACAUUUGGAAUGUUAAGCCUAUGAAAAGCUAGUUUCUCAUUACACACGUACAUUAAGUUUAACAUAAAACAUUGUCUGACAAAUGCUACAACCAAAUGUUGUCCGCGCCAGCAUAUUGGAAAUAGAGAUUGGCUUGCACACCUACACUUUUAAAAGACAGCACUCAUUAAAUUGACAUGCAUUCAAUUUCAAACAAUCAAUAGGUGAGUAAAAACUCAGUUUGGGCCAGCGUUUGAAGAAUGAUUAAUGAACACCCCCAGGAGGAAUUAUCAUAACAGUGAGUGUAGCUCCCCCAAAACCCCCAUCCUCAGCACAUCCUGUGGACUAAUGAGGACGUCAGUAAUGAAGGAGAUUUGUGGGGACAGAGGAACAGAACAUGCUUCCCCCACGUAUGAUUUAAAAGCAGGGGGAGGCAAACACUCUCAGACUCUCAGAUUCUCAGAUUCUGUAGCGAUCCAUCCUUUUCAUUAAGCUCUUCACAUGUGAAUUGGAGCUUGUUCUUCUUUUGACUGAAUAAUACGGGCAACAUAUCAAAGUCUUAUGCUGCUUUAUUUACACAUCCUGGUCUGAAGAGUGCCCGAGAGGCAGGUUGGGUGCACGGUCAUUCAACGCUUCUCAAAAAGAACCAUUAACAGAAUGAGACAGGAAGACAAUAAAUGUGCAACAAUUUAUGACUCACACACCAAAUACCCAGAGCCUUGCUAUUCUGACAGCAUUGCUGAUAUGAUCCUGGGUAUAUCUGUAUAACAGUCCUCACAUAUGUAUUGCACAUGCUUCCAAGCACAUUUGUGAUCUAAGUUCUGACUCCAUACACACCCAUGGAUAUGCCUUGAUUUAGCAGUAAUGGACCACUCUCCUAACGCAAACGCUAUACACGCAAUGUAUAGUCAGUGAGGUUCCAAGCAAGGCACUGGAAACUUCAGGCAUCUUUACAUGUCUCUCAUGGGUACAGCUGGCCAGUUUUGAUGUGCAGUUGAUUACCUUAAGCAAGUGCUUUCUGUGAGGGGUUUCUGGCUGACAAUCAGAAUCUCUGCUCUCAGUGACUCUGUCAUUGAUUUAGCCUUAUUCAGCUGGCUCUCUAAAAUAAACAAUGAUUAACAACAUUACACAUACCUGUCAGUGUGUCCCUUAAGAAAGGGGAAUUCAAUUCAGUCUGCAUUUUAUUUAUUUUAAUAAUUUAUCCCCUUUUCUCCCCAUUUUCAUGAUAUCCAAUGGUAGUUACAGUCUUGUCCCAUCGCUGCAACUCACGUAAGGACUCGGGAGAGGCAAAGGUUGAGAGCCAUGCGAAACACGACCCCCGCAAAGCAGCACUGCUUCUUGACACAAUGCUCGCUUAACCCGGAAGCCAGCCACAUAAAUGUGUCAGAGGAAACACCGUACACCUGGCGACCGUGUCAGCCUGCAUGCCGCCCGGGCCCACCACAGGAGUCGCUAGAGUGCGAUGGGACAAGAACAACACGGACGGCCAAACCCUCCCCUAACCCGGACGAUGCUGGGCCAAUUGUGCACCACCUCAUGGGUUUCCCGUUCACCGCCAGCUGCAACACAGCCUGAGAUCAAACCGUCUGCACAUGUUCUACAGUACGUUGUCUUUCAGAUUGUUUGCUUUAUCUGGUGGGUUGGCCUUCAAACAUUUACCUGACAACAGACCUGGACUAUAAUAUGUCCCAGUCCUUCUCACUCCCAAUGGAGACCUCUCUUUUCUUCUUGCAUGGACUCCAUUUCUAAGACAGGAAGGAAAAUACAGUACAAGGGGUCACCAUAAAGCCUCAGGGUUGGCCAGAACAGUGCAUGGUUAGUGUGGCAUCAGGUUAUAUAAUGUAAAUAAAUGAUUAUUUCAUAAGCUAGCCAUACCCAAUGGAAAAUACAAAUACAUAUUAACAGAAACAGUGGCUCAUUUACCUUUGUUUAAAGAGUUAACCUCCUCUAAGUUAGGUAUCUCAGAUUGGGUUUGGUUCUCAAACACAGUCUCCCAUGAAAGGCAAACGGUACCAUUCAGGUAUUUACAGUGAGGCAAAAAAAAUUCAGCCACCAAUUGUGCAAGUUCUCCCACUUAAAAAUAUGAGAGGCCUGUAAUUUUCAUCAUAGGUACACUUCAGGGGGGACCUAAUGAAUGACCUGCAGAGAGCUGGGACCAAAGUAACAAAGCCUACCAUCAGUAACACACUACGCCGCCAGGGACUCAAAUCCUGCAGUGCCAGACGUGUCCCCCUGCUUAAGCUAGUACAUGUCCAGGCCCGUCUGAAGUUUGCUAGAGAGCAUUUGGAUGAUCCAGAAGAAGAUUGGGAGAAUGUCAUAUGGUCAGAUGAAACCAAAAUAUCAAAUCAAACCAAACUCGUCGUGUUUGGAGGACAAAGAAUGCUGAGUUGCAUCCAAAGAACACCAUACCUACUGU
rnacentral:lncRNA from 13 species